rfam:TPA: Bos taurus chromosome 17, whole genome shotgun sequence.
GCCCUGGUGGUCCAGUGGCUGAGACUCUGCACUCCCAGUGCAGCAGGCCAGGGUUCGAUCCCUGGUCAGGGAA